UUGAUCAUGGCUCAGGAUAAACGCUAGCGGCAGGCUUAACACAUGCAAGUCGAGGGGUAACAUUGGGUGUUUACACUCAGAUGACGACCGGCGGAUGGGUGAGUAACGAGUAUGUAACCUACCUGUUACUAAAGGAUAGCCCGAAGAAAUUUGGAUUAAUCCUUUAUGAUAUCUUUUUUUGGCAUCGAUUUAAGAUUAAAGAAUUUUCGGUAAUAGAUGGGCAUGCUUUCUAUUAGAUAGUUGGUAAGGUAAAGGCUUACCAAGUCGACGAUAGAUAGGGGCUCUGAGAGGAUUUCCCCCCACACUGGAACUGAGAACGGUCCAGACUCCUACGGGAGGCAGCAGUGAGGAAUAUUGGGCAAUGGAGGCAACUCUGACCCAGCCAUGCCGCGUGCAGGAUUACGAUCGACAAGAUUUUAAACUGCUUUUAUAAUGGGAAAAUCAUCAAUUUGCGAAUUGAUUUGCUGUUACAUUAUGAAUAAGAAUCGGCUAACUCCGUGCCAGCAGCCGCGGUAAUACGGGGGAUUCAAGCGUUAUCCGGACUUAUUGGGUUUAAAGGGUGCGUAGGCUGAUAAAUCAGUCAGCGGUGAAAUUUACGGGCUUAACUUGUAGCUUGCCGUUGAAACUAUUUAUCUAGAGAUAUUUCGGCGUAUGCGGAAUGUAUCAAGUAGCGGUGAAAUGCAUAGAUAUGCUACAGAACACCAAUCGCGAAGGCAGCAUACGAGGCAUCACCUGACGCUGAUGCACGAAAGCGUGGGGAUCAAACAGGAUUAGAUACCCUGGUAGUCCACGCUGUAAACUAUGAUAACUAUCUUUUAGCGAUACACAGUUAGAGGGUACGAGAAAUCAUUAAGUUAUCCACCUGGGGAUUACGUUCGCAAGAAUGAAACUCAAAGGAAUUGACGGGGGCCCGCACAAGCGGAGGAGCAUGUGGUUUAAUUCGAUGAUACGCGAGGAACCUUACCCGGGCUCGAACGGUACAUGAAUUAUAUUGGAAACUGUAUAAGUCUUUCGGGACAUGUAUCGAGGUGCUGCAUGGUUGUCGUCAGCUCGUGCC
rnacentral:rRNA from 1 species